rnacentral:lncRNA from 1 species
ACGGAGUCUACUUAUUUUUGUUUUUUUUUUUCUUUUUGAUAAAAAUGAAACAGAGAUUUGGCUCGGGUUGUUAUGAGGUGGUGGGCAGAUGAGCUCACUCUCCGGUGCUUGGCGAGUGUCCACCUUGGGAGCCUGUGGCCAUGUUUCUGUCCGGGAUUAUCAAGGAUGUCGGAAAGCUGAGAUCACAGCCCUGGAGGAGUGAGUUUUUACUGUGACUCUCCAAAGACCAUCUUUAUGCCAGGAGUGUCAGAGACCCAUUUCAUAGACUCCAUCUAACCACCUGAAGAGCUGUCACACACAGAACAUUGUUCUCGAAGGAGAAAAGAGCCCCUGUGCCCACCCCUAUGCACUUUGGGCUGAGACCGACAAUCUGGCUGCAAGGACAGCAUGUUGUCCUUUUGGAAAAAUGAGAGCACUGAAGUGAAAGAGAUGACAGAGGUGUCAGAGACCCUGCUGCUGAGAGCGGAAGGGAGCAGGAGAGGACCCUACUGCCAUGGGGCAGACCUGCCAUCGGGAGACGGCUGUAACAACCAUUGAUGCACA